rnacentral:rRNA from 1 species
UGAUACCCUAUUAUUUUUAGUGUAAAAUUUAUCUCUUAUAAAAUUGUUAGGUUUGUUCUUUAAAUUAAAAGAAUUUGACGGUAAUUAUAUCAUUUCAGAGGAACCUGUCCUGUAAUUGAUAAUCCACGAUAAAUCUUACCUUGAUUAAUAGGUUGUAUAUCUCUGUCUGUAGAAUGUUCUCUAAGGAUUUAAUUUUCUUUUUCUUUAAAAAGUUAAAUGUCAGGUCAAGGUGCACUUAUACCAGGGGUUGAGAUGGGUUACAAUAAUAUAAAAUUAUGGAUUUUUAUUUUUAUGAAUUAACUUGAAAUAGGAUUUGAAUGUAAUUUAUAUUAUA